GAGGAGAAAGAGGCUCUGGAUUACAUCGAAGCCUUUCUCACGAGCAAUGAACAGGACGAGGCCAAGAAACUCAAGUUCUUGGAUUCCAUCAGCACCCUCAGAAGCCUGCCUGCUUUUAUGAACAAAGCCCUGCUAGUGGAGAAGAUAAAGGAGCUGAUUGAUCACGAGUCC